UACGGACGUUAGUUUAUUCUAUGAUUAUGGAGAUAGCGAUUUUUCCAAUUUUUUAAUAGAAAAAGUGAUUUUUCUGUGCACUAUUUUAGUUCAUUCUGUUGCUCAAUGCCUAUUUAAUCUCCUGAAAAUGAAAGUUGUUAAUAAUGCACACGAGCACAUAAAGACCACCCAAAACAAGAGACCUGGGUUACCCACCCCUUGUAUAAUCCUGAUGUUUGGCUAUCAUUCUGGUUUACAAAUUUAUUUCUUUGGAUAGCAGCACUUCAGCCACCCUCGUCAAGAUGCUAUUAGACCGAUUAAAUUCAACAUUCAACAGUGCAAUGAGGACGAAAUUCAUCAUUGGGGAGGAAACUAAAUAAUUUUAGAACCAAAACUUUCCAGAAAAGUAGCCAGAAGAUUUAUUCACCUCAACAUAGACAUCAGCAUGUCCAUCAGCCACCUUGAAUAUUAAUAUACAUUUUAUAUUGUCAAUAAAAAAUAAUUCGUUAAUAAACA